rnacentral:rRNA from 1 species
CCUACGGGCGGCAGCAGUGGGGGAUAUUGCACAAUGGGGGGAACCCUGAUGCAGCGACGCCGCGUGGGUGAAGGAGCGUUUCGGCGCGUAAAGCCCUAUCGGCAGGGAAGAAGAUGACGGUACCUGACCAAGAAGCCCCGGCUAAAUACGUGCCAGCAGCCGCGGUAAUACGUAGGGGGCCAGCGUUAUCCGGAUUUACUGGGUGUAAAGCGGGCGCAGACGGCAAUGCAGGCCAGGAGUGAAAGCCCGGGGCCCAAGCCCGGGACUGCUCUUGGAACUGCAUUGCUGGAGUGCAGGAGGGGCAGGCGGAAUGCCUAGUGUAGCGGUGAAAUGCGUAGAUAUUAGGAGGAACACCGGUGGCGAAGGCGGCCUGCUGGACUGUGACUGACGUUGAGGCCCGAAGGCGUGGGGAGCAAACAGGAUUAGAUACCCCUGUAGUC